AUGUGGGCAGAAGCUCCAAGGAUGACACAACCUCAAGCCAUUGUGAGGGCAUCCCCAUUGGGCACACGCAGUGGGUCACCUGUCUCCAGUGGGGAGGGGAUGGGGUUCUUUCUGUCUGUAUUCUGUAUCCCAGGACCACACCAUCAAAGUAUACCGGGUCAUAAUGGUCUGCUGUGCCAGGCUCUUGAAGGUCACAGCCACUGGGGAAACAGGAUGACAGUCAGCACUGAGUCUGUGCUCCAUACUGAGACCUGUGAGCCCACCGAGGACACAGUUAAUGCCCAAGACCUCCAGGGGUCCUUGCAGAAGCUGAAGGAGAGGACAGUGGGCCAGUACAGCCUCAAGCAGGUCCAGGGCCCAGAAAGGGUGGCAUCUGGCUCAACUUCCACUUAUUCUUUUGGUCCUCAGCAGAGAACAAGAAGCCCCUUGUAUACAUGGCAGGACACCAGGGCAGUGCCUCCUUUGACAAGACCAUCAAGCUGUGGGAUGGAGGAUGGCAAGUAUGACCUGGCUUCCCUGCGUGGCUAUGUGGUCGGCAUGUACCAGACUACAUGGUCAGUGACAGUUGGCUGCUGGUCAGUGGCAGCAGUGACAUCACACUGUAGAACACGAAGGCCCAGAGGCUGGCCAAAGAUCUGCCAGGCUACAAGGAUGAGUUUUGUGCUGUGGACUGGAGUUCAGAGAGCUCAAGAGCUGCAGAACUUUGCAAAGGCUCUGGCUUCAUCUCUUCUUGGGAAUACAUCCACAUCUUCCCCCAGCACCUGCAGGAAGCAGGGGAUGCUGGGAGUCUCUUUGUGCACAGGCGCGUCCCACACAGGCCCAACUGUGAUCCCAGGGCGGAGGUCAGGGCGCGCUUUCCAGGGCCAGGGCUGUGCCAAAGCAGCCCCAGAAAAACAUGGCCUGAUCUCUUUCCCCAGAGUCUCUUUGUUGGACCAAACUGUGUUUAUUCUUUAGUAUUAUGCAACAUUGAUGAAUAUGGAAAAGGCGAAAAGUAUUAAGAAAAAGAACGACAACAAUUGGAAUCCCACCCAGAGAUACCCACAAUUAAUAUCUUGCUGUAUUUCAUUCCAGUCUCGUAUCCUUUUCUCUCACCCUUGGUAGCUUCACAUCCUUCACACAGAGCUGUGUACUUGACACCGCCCCCCCCGCCACCAUUGCCAUUAUGUUAUACUCUCACUACUGAAUAUUUUUCUUUUUUUUCCCCCUAGAGCAUCAAUUGUAUUCAUGGGUUUAGAGAUAAUACAUUAUUUUUAUAUUAAAAUUAACAUGACCGUGUUUUGAAAUAGAUGACAAAAUAUGCCUGAAUUUUGUAAAUAAAAUACAGAAUUUCAAAGAAAAACGUGCUAGUGUCCUGGUGCUCCCCCAGAUCCUCAGAGCUGUGUGUUCACACUGCUUUGCCAUAGAUGAGGCAGGAGUGGAAAAGUCCAGAUGACUUGAAGUCGUUUUAUUGUAUCUCCU
rnacentral:lncRNA from 1 species